GAUGAACGCUGGCGGCGUGCCUAAUACAUGCAAGUCGAGCGAACAGAUGAGGAGCUUGCUCCUCUGACGUUAGCGGCGGACGGGUGAGUAACACGUGGAUAACCUACCUAUAAGACUGGGAUAACUUCGGGAAACCGGAGCUAAUACCGGAUAAUAUAUUGAACCGCAUGGUUCAAUAGUGAAAGACGGUUUUGCUGUCACUUAUAGAUGGAUCCGCGCCGCAUUAGCUAGUUGGUAAGGUAACGGCUUACCAAGGCAACGAUGCGUAGCCGACCUGAGAGGGUGAUCGGCCACACGGGAACUGAGACAGGGUCCAGACUCCUACGGGAGGCAGCAGUAGGGAAUGUUCCGCAAUGGGCGAAAGCCUGACGGAGCAACGCCGCGUGAGUGAUGAAGGUCUUCGGAUCGUAAAACUCUGUUAUUAGGGAAGAACAAAUGUGUAAGUAACUAUGCACGUAUUGACGGUACCUAAUCAGAAAGCCACGGCUAACUACGUG
rnacentral:rRNA from 1 species